ensembl:lncRNA
GGCUGCACGGGGUCAGAGUGGACGUUUUGGAGCAGGAAGCACCUGAAGGACAACGUUACAGACAGUCAAACUUCCUGUGAGGAGAUGAACAGAAACGAGGAACUGGACAAAUUGUUUCAGAGGUUAUCUACACACUGCAGAGCAGGCAGACUGAGCAGCUGUGAUGAAAGGCAAAGACUGACAAAGCUGGCAAUGAGAAGCUGCACAGAUGAAGUCGUCCUGCAGUGGCUGAGAAAAAACUCAGAGUCUGACACCUUCAGCAAACUCACAGACAUGUUUGACUUCCUGAAGAAACACAUUGAUGAGGAGGAGAAGAAGAACCACAGCGAUGAUGUUCACAUCACCUUUAUGGCUCAUGGAGCAAUCAGAGACUUCAUGAUCCCAGCCAGCUGUUACCUGCCUCUGCCCACCAUCACUGACGUGCUCCUGUAUUCUCCCUGGAACUGCGUCACUUCUGGUUUAGAGUACGGUAUCGCUACAGGAAAACUGAGGCCUCAGCACAGAGUUUUUUCCUGUGACGAAAGAAGGCUGUACCAUUCCUGAUGACAAACAUCGACCUGUGAACCUGCCAGAUCACUGGAACUCACUGAAGAAAGCUGGAGCACAGAUGGUCCCAAACAUCACGGUUAGCCCUCUUAGAGAUGAUGAUGGAAGGUGGAAAUACUUUGAGUCUCUCUCAGCUAAACACGGCCCACCAGGAAGGAACCGCAUCGUCAUCCCGUUCAUCCUCCCAGGACGGGAAUAUGAAAGCGUCCCGUUCUCUGUGGUGACCUUGGCUCUGUCCCUGGUGCUCCUCUCCUCCAGGUUUAAAGCCACUCUUCACUUCGAUGGUUGUCUCAGAGAUCACUCUACUGGACAGAAAUUUGACAGGAAGUAUCUUCAGGAGCAGUACGCCUGCGCCAUCGACAACAGCUGGAUGAAAUGUUCAGCUGAAGCUUUCAGAUGAUGAUAAAUGCUGCCUGUGUUAGACAUGUUUGUAGACAUUUUAGUGUAAAGAUGAAGAUGAUAAAAGUAGUUUUUCUAUAUUUGAGGCUCAGAUUCAUGAUAAAGGGACUUGAAUCAUCAUUUAGAAAUGUUCCAGGUCAUAAUCUGAUCAUAAUCUGCUAACAUCUGUGGAGGUUAUUAAUAUAAACACUCACCUGUUCUCUGCUCGCUGCUCACAGGU